ACAUUCCAGCCUGGGCAACAGAGUGAAACCCUGUCUCAAAAAAAAGCAGCAACUUCUCUCUGGGAAAGGCAGGUCUUGUGACAGAGGCAAACGAGAGAUGGCAGAAUCUCACAGUGGCAUUUAUAACUUCUGCUUUGAAGUGGCAACAUUUCCAUUCACAUGUCAUUGGCCAAAGCAAGUCAUGUCCAAACUAAUAUCAAUGCAAAGCAUAAUCCCAUAAGGACACAUCUGAUAUAGAGGGGCAGUGAAAAUGUCAACAAUAAUAUAAUCUAUGAGAGGAUACAGAAGCAUAACCAGUAAAUGUUAGUGUCCUUCCCUUUCCUCUUUUCCCUUACUGGUUCCCCCUGAGAAACACAAGUGUACAGCAUGGAGAGGCUGUGUGAUGUCAUAAUUAAGAGUGUAGAUUCUGAGAACAGACUGCCUGAGUUCAAAUCCUUACUCUGCCAUUUUCCAGCUGUGUGGCUUUGGGCAAGUUAUUUAACCUCUCUGUGCCUCAACUUCUUCAUGUAAACUGGCAGUAAUAAUAAUACGAAUGCCACAGAGCUGUGGAUGAAAUGAGCCCAUUCCGGUCUGGCUUCUUUAACCAGGAAGAUGUGGGCUGAGAGCUGUGGAGUAGAUGUCUUCACCAGAUGAGUACACAGAGAAGUAGAGAAUGUGUAUCUGCAGAGUAGGAUGAAGCAGAGACAAGAUGAAUUUAAGUGAAUAAUGAUGCCAAAGCAUCUCAUGGAAAAAAAAACAUGAAUAAAAAGCAUUGCUCUAAAUGUAACGUUAUCAAAAUCACUGGUUAAAGCAACAUAUAGCACUCUUGUUUUUGAUACCAGUCUUGUGAAUAAGGUAUUCAGGAAGCACAGCUGUCUUUUGUUCCUGAAGCCGUAUCAGGAUUCAGCAGGAAAGAGCACCAAGAUCACUUGGCAAUGUUUAUCCUGAUCAAGCACGGGCACUGAUGGCAGAUGCAGGACAAAGGACAGAACUCUAAGUCAUCCCUGUGCUCACCUGAGACAAAUGCAUGUCUGAUUGCUUCCACUGAUGUAAAAAUGCAGAUUUGCUGAGUUAGACGAAGACGAUGGCAGAGAGCAGUCUUCAUCCUGAGCCCCAUUCCUAGGUAAGUAGCUGAAUUGGGGUUUUGUUUUGGAAAUUCUCCUUAAUGGCUAAAGUUAAGAUUAACAACCAGCUGGUCUUAAUUUCUUCUUACCAUUAGAGCACUCAGUAAUCUAAUAUAAAUUAUAAAUCUAAUAUAUUAGAUUUAUUUUGGGUUUGACCAACUCUAUCUGACUUGAUCAAAUCCAAAGGAAAGUUCCAAAUUAUGGGGAAUAAGGCCUCUGAAUUGGCUACAUUCCUGCAGCUGAAAAUAAGGAAAGAAAAAAGGGAAAAAGUAAAAGCAGCCAGGCCGGGCAUGGUGGCUCAAACCUGUAA
rnacentral:lncRNA from 1 species